UACGUAGGGGGCAAGCGUUUGUCCGGAAUUACUGGGCGUAAAGCGUGCGCAGGCGGUUCGUUAAGUCAGCUGUGAAAGCCCCGGGCUUAACCUGGGAAUGGCGGUUGAAACUGGCGAACUUGAAUCUGGCAGAGGGGGGUGGAAUUCCACGUGUAGCAGUGAAAUGCGUAGAGAUGUGGAGGAACACCGAUGGCGAAGGCAGCCCCCUGGGCUGAGAUUGACGCUCAGGCACGAAAGCGUGGGGAGCAAACAGG
rnacentral:rRNA from 1 species